AGAGUUUGAUCCUGGCUCAGAUUGAACGCUGGCGGUAUGCUUAACACAUGCAAGUCGAACGGAAACGAUACUAGCUUGCUAGUAGGCGUCGAGUGGCGGACGGGUGAGUAACGCGUAGGAAUCUGCCUGAUAGUGGGGGAUAGCCCGAAGAAAUUCGGAUUAAUACCGCAUAAUCUAUUCGUAGUAAAGUGGGGGACUUUCGAGCCUCACGCUAUCAGAUGAGCCUGCGUAAGAUUAGCUUGUUGGUGGGGUAAAAGCCCACCAAGGCGACGAUCUUUAGCUGGUCUGAGAGGAUGAUCAGCCACAUCGGGACUGAGACACGGCCCGAACUCCUACGGGAGGCAGCAGUGGGGAAUAUUGGACAAUGGGGGCAACCCUGAUCCAGCAAUACCGCGUGUGUGAAGAAGGCCUGAGGGUUGUAAAGCACUUUCAAUUGUGAAGAAAAGUUAGCGGUUAAUAACCGUUAGCCUUGACGUUAACUUUAGAAGAAGCACCGGCUAACUCCGUGCCAGCAGCCGCGGUAAUACGGAGGGUGCAAGCGUUAAUCGGAAUUACUGGGCGUAAAGCGUGCGUAGGCGGUUUAUUAAGUCAGAUGUGAAAGCCCCGGGCUUAACCUGGGAACUGCAUUUGAAACUGGUCAACUAGAGUAUGGUAGAGGAAAGUGGAAUUUCUGGUGUAGCGGUGAAAUGCGUAGAUAUCAGAAGGAACAUCAAUGGCGAAGGCAGCUUUCUGGACCAAUACUGACGCUGAGGUACGAAAGCGUGGGUAGCAAACAGGAUUAGAUACCCUGGUAGUCCACGCCGUAAACGAUGAUAACUAGCCGUUGGGGGGAUUUACCCUUUAGUGGCGAAGCUAACGCGUUAAGUUAUCCGCCUGGGGAGUACGGCCGCAAGGUUAAAACUCAAAGGAAUUGACGGGGACCCGCACAAGCGGUGGAGCAUGUGGUUUAAUUCGAUGCAACGCGAAGAACCUUACCUGGUCUUGACAUCCUGCGAACUUUCUAGAAAUAGAUUGGUGCCUUCGGGAACGCAGUGACAGGUGCUGCAUGGCUGUCGUCAGCUCGUGUCGUGAGAUGUUGGGUUAAGUCCCGUAACGAGCGCAACCCCUAUCCUUAUUUGCCAGCACAUUAUGGUGGGAACUAUAAGGAGACUGCCGGUGAUAAACCGGAGGAAGGCGGGGACGACGUCAAGUCAUCAUGGCCCUUACGACCAGGGCUACACACGUGCUACAAUGGGAAGGACAAAGAGCCGCGAAGCCGCGAGGUGUAGCUAAUCUCAUAAACCUUUUCGUAGUCCGGAUUGGAGUCUGCAACUCGACUCCAUGAAGUCGGAAUCGCUAGUAAUCGUAGAUCAGAAUGCUACGGUGAAUACGUUCCCGGGUCUUGUACACACCGCCCGUCAUACCAUGGGAGUGGGUUGCACCAGAAGUGGCUAGUCUAACUUAGUGAGGACGGUCACCACGGUGUGAUUCAUGACUGGGGUAAAGUCGUAACAAGGUA
rnacentral:rRNA from 1 species